GCACUCGUAGCUCAGUGGAUAGAGCAUUGGUCUCCGAAGCCAAAUGUCGAGGGUUCAACUCCCUCCGAGUGCACCA
rnacentral:tRNA from 1 species